AGAGUUUGAUCCUGGCUCAGGACGAACGCUGGCGGCGUGCCUAAUACAUGCAAGUAGAACGCUGAAGAGAGGAGCUUGCUCUUCUUGGAUGAGUUGCGAACGGGUGAGUAACGCGUAGGUAACCUGCCUUGUAGCGGGGGAUAACUAUUGGAAACGAUAGCUAAUACCGCAUAACAAUGGAUGACACAUGUCAUUUAUUUGAAAGGGGCAAUUGCUCCACUACAAGAUGGACCUGCGUUGUAUUAGCUAGUAGGUGAGGUAAUGGCUCACCUAGGCGACGAUACAUAGCCGACCUGAGAGGGUGAUCGGCCACACUGGGACUGAGACACGGCCCAGACUCCUACGGGAGGCAGCAGUAGGGAAUCUUCGGCAAUGGGGGCAACCCUGACCGAGCAACGCCGCGUGAGUGAAGAAGGUUUUCGGAUCGUAAAGCUCUGUUGUAAGUCAAGAACGGGUGUGAGAGUGGAAAGUUCACACUGUGACGGUAGCUUACCAGAAAGGGACGGCUAACUACGUGCCAGCAGCCGCGGUAAUACGUAGGUCCCGAGCGUUGUCCGGAUUUAUUGGGCGUAAAGCGAGCGCAGGCGGUUUGAUAAGUCUGAAGUUAAAGGCUGUGGCUCAACCAUAGUUCGCUUUGGAAACUGUCAAACUUGAGUGCAGAAGGGGAGAGUGGAAUUCCAUGUGUAGCGGUGAAAUGCGUAGAUAUAUGGAGGAACACCGGUGGCGAAAGCGGCUCUCUGGUCUGUAACUGACGCUGAGGCUCGAAAGCGUGGGGAGCGAACAGGAUUAGAUACCCUGGUAGUCCACGCCGUAAACGAUGAGUGCUAGGUGUUGGAUCCUUUCCGGGAUUCAGUGCCGCAGCUAACGCAUUAAGCACUCCGCCUGGGGAGUACGACCGCAAGGUUGAAACUCAAAGGAAUUGACGGGGGCCCG
rnacentral:rRNA from 1 species